rnacentral:rRNA from 1 species
GAUGAACGCUAGCUACAGGCUUAACACAUGCAAGUCGAGCGAUGAAGCUUCUUCGGAAGUGGAUUAGCGGCGGACGGGUGAGUAACACGUGGGUAACCUGCCUCAUAGAGGGGAAUAGCCUUCCGAAAGGAAGAUUAAUACCGCAUAAGAUUGUAAUAUCGCAUGAUAUAGCAAUUAAAGGAGCAAUCCGCUAUGAGAUGGACCCGCGUCGCAUUAGCUAGUUGGUGAGGUAACGGCUCACCAAGGCGACGAUGCGUAGCCGACCUGAGAGGGUGAUCGGCCACAUUGGGACUGAGACACGGCCCAGACUCCUACGGGAGGCAGCAGUGGGGAAUAUUGCACAAUGGGGGAAACCCUGAUGCAGCAACGCCGCGUGAGUGAUGACGGUCUUCGGAUUGUAAAGCUCUGUCUUUAGGGACGAUAAUGACGGUACCUAAGGAGGAAGCCACGGCUAACUACGUG